GCCCUAGUAGCUCAGGGGAUAGAGCAUCCGACUUCUAAUCGGAAGGUCGCAGGUCCGAAUCCUGCCUAGGGCACCA
rnacentral:tRNA from 1 species